GAUGAACGCUGGCGGCGUGCCUAAUACAUGCAAGUCGAGCGAACAGACGAGGAGCUUGCUCCUCGGACGUUAGCGGCGGACGGGUGAGUAACACGUGGAUAACCUACCUAUAAGACUGGGAUAACUUCGGGAAACCGGCGCUAAUACCGGAUAAUAUAUUGAACCGCAUGGGUCAAUAGUGAAAGACGGUGUUGCUGUCACUUAUAGAUGGAUCCGGGCCGAAUUAGCUGGUUGGUAAGGUAACGGCUUUCCAAGGCAACGAUGCGUAGCCGACCUGAGAGGGGGAUCGGCCGCAUGGGAGCGUGGCCGCGGUCCAUGCUCCUACGGGAGGCAGCAGUAGGGAAUCGGCGGCAAAGGGCGAGAGCAUGACGGAGCAGGGCCGCGUGAGUGAUGGAGGUCUCGGGAGCGUAAAAACGUGUUAUUAGUGAAGAACAAAUGUGGAAGGAACUAUGCCCUGCUUGACGGUACCGAAUCAGAAAGCCACGGCUAACUACGUG
rnacentral:rRNA from 1 species